rnacentral:rRNA from 1 species
AGUGAACGCUGGCGGUAGGCCUAACACAUGCAAGUCGAACGGCAGCACAGUAAGAGCUUGCUCUUACGGGUGGCGAGUGGCGGACGGGUGAGGAAUACAUCGGAAUCUACUUUUUCGUGGGGGAUAACGUAGGGAAACUUACGCUAAUACCGCAUACGACCUACGGGUGAAAGCAGGGGAUCUUCGGACCUUGCGCGAUUGAAUGAGCCGCUGUCGGAUUAGCUAGUUGGCGGGGUAAAGGCCCACCAAGGCGACGAUCCGUAGCUGGUCUGAGAGGCUGAUCAGCCACACUGGAACUGAGACACGGUCCAGACUCCUACGGGAGGCAGCAGUGGGGAAUAUUGGACAAUGGGCGCAAGCCUGAUCCAGCCGUACCGCGUGGGUGAAGAAGGCCUUCGGGUUGUAAAGCCCUUUUGUUGGGAAAGAAAAGCAGCAGGUUAAUACCCCGCUGUUCUGACGGUACCCAAAGAAUAAGCACCGGCUAACUUCGUG